rnacentral:rRNA from 1 species
GAGUUUGAUCCUGGCUCAGAAUCAACGCUGGCGGCGCGCUUAACACAUGCAAGUCGCACGAGAAAGGGAGCAAUCCUGAGUAAAGUGGCGUACGGGUGAGUAACACGUGGAUCAUCUACCUUUUAGUGGGGAAUACCUCCGGGAAACUGGAGACAAUACCGCAUAAGCUCGUAAGAGGAAAGCAGCAAUGCGCUGAAAGAGGAGUCCGCGGCUGAUUAGCUAGAUGGCGGGGUAACGGCCCACCAUGGCGAAGAUCGGUAGCCGGCCUGAGAGGGCACACGGCCACACUGGCACUGAAACACGGGCCAGACUCCUACGGGAGGCAGCAGUGGGGAAUCUUGCACAAUGGGGGAAACCCUGAUGCAGCGACGCCGCGUGAGCGAUGAAGCCCUUCGGGGUGUAAAGCUCUUUCGACGGGAACGAUAAUGACGGUACCCGAAGAAGAAGCUGCGGCUAACUACGUGCCAGCAGCCGCGGUAAUACGUAGGCAGCAAGCGUUGUUCGGAAUUACUGGGCGUAAAGAGUGUGUAGGCGGUGUUCUAAGUCUGUUGUGAAAUCUCCCGGCUCAACUGGGAGGGUGCGGCGGAGACUGGAAUGCUAGAGUAUGGGAGAGGUAAGCGGAAUUCCUGGUGUAGCGGUGAAAUGCGUAGAUAUCAGGAGGAACACCUGUGGUGUAGACAGCUUACUGGACCAUGACUGACGCUGAGACACGAAAGCGUGGGUAGCAAACAGGAUUAGAUACCCUGGUAGUCCACGCCCUAAACGAUGCAUACUUGGUGUGAGCCAUUCAUUUGGUUCGUGCCGGAGCUAACGCGUUAAGUAUGCCGCCUGGGGAGUACGGUCGCAAGGCUGAAACUCAAAGGAAUUGACGGGGGCUCACACAAGCGGUGGAGCAUGUGGCUUAAUUCGAGGCUACGCGAAGAACCUUAUCCUGGACUUGACAUGUUCGAAAGAGGCAGCAAGUAGGGAGCGGAAACGCCACCCGAACGGUAUCCAAUCCGGAAGCUGCCACAGGUGCUGCAUGGCUGUCGUCAGCUCGUGUCGUGAGAUGUCAGGUUAAGUCCCAUAACGAGCGAAACCCCUGUUUCCAGUUGCCAGCGAGUAAAGUCGGGGACUCUGGAAAGACUGCCGGUGUUAAACCGGAGGAAGGUGGGGAUGACGUCAAGUCCUCAUGGCCUUUAUGUCCAGGGCUGCACACGUGCUACAAUGCCGUGAACAAAGGGACGCAAACCCGCGAGGGGGAGCAAAUCCCAAAAAACACGGCCCAGUUCAGAUCGAAGGCUGCAACUCGCCUUCGUGAAGUUGGAAUCGCUAGUAAUCGCGGGUCAGCAACACCGCGGUGAAUGUGUUCCUGAGCCUUGCACACAC